rnacentral:rRNA from 1 species
AAUAUUGGUCAAUGGACGCAAGUCUGAACCAGCCACGUCGCGUGAAGGAAGACGGCCCUACGGGUUGUAAACUUCUUUUAUACGGGAAUAAAGUGCCCCACGUGUGGGGUUUUGCAUGUACCGUAUGAAUAAGGAUCGGCUACCUCCGUGCCAGCAGCCGCGGUAAUACGGAGGAUCCGAGCGUUAUACGGAUUUAUUGGGUUUAAAGGGUGCUCAGGCGGGGGGUUAAGUCGGCGGUGAAAUUUUGCAGCUCAACUGUAAAAGUGCCUUCGAAACUGGUUCCCUUGAGUGCGGAUGAGGUAGGCGGAAUUUGUGGUGUAGCGGUGAAAUGCAUAGAUAUCACGAGGAACUCCGAUUGCGCAGGCAGCUUACCAAGCCGUAACUGACGCUCAAGCACGAAGGCGUGGGGAUCAAACAGG